UACGUAGGGGGCUAGCGUUAAUCGGAAUUACUGGGCGUAAAGCGUGCGCAGGCGGUUUGUUAAGUCCGCUGUGAAAUCCCCGAGCUCAACUUGGGAAUUGCAGUGGAUACUGGCAGGCUGGAGUAUGGUAGAGGAAGGUGGAAUUCCCGGUGUAGCAGUGAAAUGCGUAGAGAUCGGGAGGAACACCAGUGGCGAAGGCGGCCUUCUGGACCAAUACUGACGCUCAUGCACGAAAGCGUGGGGAGCAAACAGG
rnacentral:rRNA from 1 species